rnacentral:misc_RNA from 1 species
GGCCACUAUAUAUUUAUUUUAUGACAUAUAAAGAAAAGUUACAGAAAGAAAUAUCAAACUUUCAAUUAUUACAAGCACUACAGUAUUACAUAAUUAAAUGCCUGAAAAUAAGGUUUCUUUGAGCAUAUCCGUCAACUAAUGCAUAUUGGGAGCGGACUUGACUUGAAGGAGAAUAAAGUUGAAACCCAUGUGCUUUUUCUUAUGGGUAAUGACUUUUCCACUCUAGAGUGCUCGAAGGCGAACAGGAAGACCUUUUUCAGGGGUUGGCAUCAUGUCUCCAAAAAUUUUUUCAUUUGGAAAUUCCAACUCCCAUUUGAACCUUUUCAUCACAUUGUGGAUAAAUGUUAGAAUUGCUAAUCUAGCAUACUCUUUUCCAGGGCACGUCCUAGGUCCUCCUCCAAAGGGUACAAAUGUGUAGGGUGGAAUUGCCUUUUCAUCAUUAUAUCUUGAUGGAUCAAAUAUUUCAGGAUUUGGGAAGUAUUCUGGAUUCUUGUUUGUUGUGCUCACUGUCCAAUAUAUCUUCCACCCCUUUGGAAUGGUAUAGCCUGCAUAUGUAAAGUCAGUUAUAGCCUCUCUGAAAGUUCCUUGAAGUGGAGGUGUAAGUCUCAUCACUUCAUACACCACAUUCCAUGAGUACUUCAUCUUCUGUAUAUCUUCCCAUUGCAACAGCUCCCCAUCCUUCUUUGCAGAGGCCACAUCCAUUUGCUCAUCAAGAAUCUUUUUGUAUAUAUCAGGUCUCUUGCCAACAUAUUUCAUGAAGAAAGUAAUCGCAGUAGCGACGGUGCUAUAUCCUGCAGUUAGUAAACCCAUCAUCUUGUCUGAAAUCUCGGCCUCCGGCAUGUGUGUGCCGGAAGGAUCAGUGGCGACGAUCAUAUGCGAAAGUAUGUCUUGCAUAGGUGCUCCUGAUGUGGAUAUGGCAUCUCUUUUCUCCUUAACUACUGAGGUCAACUCCUUGCGGAUUGCAGCCGCAGCUUUUUUGGCUCUGUAGAAGAUGGUUCCAGGGAAAUUCAAAGUGAAAGAAUGCAUCCCUACAGUUAUGUCAUCAAAGUUGCUCACAAGCCUUGCAAUCCUCUCAGGAUCAUCAGUGCCCAAGAAGAAGCGACAAGCCAGGGACAAAGUUAAUGUCUUAGCAAGAGGAGAGACCUUGACAGUGUCUUUUCCCUCCCAAUAGCUUUGCAUUUGUUGCUGUGUGAUGGAGUCCAUUUUCCCCAAGUAUCUCACCAAGGCCUCCGGCUUCAAGAAUGCCGGUGAUCGGAGAAUUUUAGCCUCAUUUUCGCUUGGGGCAGGAGCUUUAGCUUGGUAGGAACGAAAGAGCUUCUGCAUGGAAUGAGGACGAAACACAGUAAAAAGCUUCUGCUCGUUGGAGAAGAGAAAUUUAUGUCCAUUAGGACCGCAUAUGACAGCAGUUUUCUCCCCAAGAAUCUUGGUCUUGAAGAUGUCAGGAGAGUAUUUCUUCAUCCUUUUGAAGACAAAGUUUUCCGGCUUGCCAAACAAGAACUCAAUUGUUUCACCCAUGAUUGGCCAUCCCAUACUCCCUGGAGGGAGGUUUUUGGCACCACCAAACUGACGCUUAAAUGCAAAGGCAAGAAAAUAAGCAAGAAAGGCAACAAUAAGAGCGAUGAAUAAUAUUGAAGGCGUGAGAAAGAAUUCCAUGGUUAAUCACUAGCGAGCAAUUUAAUUGAAGAUAUGAAUUAGAGAAUUAUGGUAUGAGUUAAAGAGGUGUGGGGAGAUU